UACGAAGGGGGCUAGCGUUGCUCGGAAUCACUGGGCGUAAAGCGCACGUAGGCGGAUUGUUAAGUCAGGGGUGAAAUCCUGGAGCUCAACUCCAGAACUGCCUUUGAUACUGGCGAUCUUGAGUCCGGGAGAGGUGAGUGGAACUGCGAGUGUAGAGGUGAAAUUCGUAGAUAUUCGCAAGAACACCAGUGGCGAAGGCGGCUCACUGGCCCGGUACUGACGCUGAGGUGCGGAAAGCGUGGGGAGCGAACGAGG
rnacentral:rRNA from 1 species